AUUGAACGCUGGCGGAAUGCUUUACACAUGCAAGUCGAACGGCAGCACGGAGAGCUUGCUCUCUGGUGGCGAGUGGCGAACGGGUGAGUAAUAUAUCGGAACGUGUCCAAUAAUGGGGGAUAACGAGUCGAAAGAUUCGCUAAUACCGCAUACGCCCUACGGGGGAAAGCAGGGGAUCGUAAGACCUUGCGUUAAUGGAGCGGCCGAUAUCUGAUUAGCUAGUUGGUGAGGUAAAGGCUCACCAAGGCGACGAUCAGUAGCUGGUUUGAGAGAACGACCAGCCACACUGGAACUGAGACACGGUCCAGACUCCUACGGGAGGCAGCAGUGGGGAAUUUUGGACAAUGGGGGCAACCCUGAUCCAGCCAUUCCGCGUGAGUGAAGAAGGCCUUCGGGUUGUAAAGCUCUUUUGUUAGGGAAGAACAAGUGCUAGUUGAAUAAGCUGGCACCUUGACGGUACCUAACCAGAAAGCCACGGCUAACUACGUGCCAGCCGCCGCAGUAA
rnacentral:rRNA from 1 species